UACGGGGGGGGCAAGCGUUGUUCGGAAUUACUGGGCGGUAAAGGGCUCGUAGGCGGCCAACUAAGUCAGACGUGAAAUCCCCAGGCUCAACCUGGGAACUGCGUCUGAUACUGGAUGGCUUGAAUCCGGGAGAGGAUGCAGAAUUCCAGGUGUAGCGGUGAAAUGCGUAGAUAUCUGGAGGAAUACCGGUGGCGAAGGCGGCAUCCUGGACCGGCAUUGACGCUGAGGAGCGAAAGCCAGGGGAGCAAACGGG
rnacentral:rRNA from 1 species